UGAGUACCUGGAUGGGACCAAGUCGUUGAAGCUGGGUGAUUUUGGUCUGGCUACAGUCGUAGAGGGACCCCUGUAUACAGUCUGCGGAACACCCACAUAUGUAGCUCCAGAGAUCAUCGCUGAGACUGGGUACGGUCUGAAGGUGGAUAUCUGGGCUGCAGGUGUUAUCACCUACAUUCUAUUGUGUGGGUUCCCUCCGUUCCGCAGUGAGAAUAACAUCCAGGGGAGCUGUUUGACCAGAUACUCAGGGG